rnacentral:rRNA from 1 species
AUGGAUGACAUUGCUUGCAACUCGCACCCUAGAGCCUUUUCUUUUGAGGAUAUAUCUGUCCAAGCCAUGCUGACGACAACAUCUGUGGAUGACGUUUUCAAUCUUCCUCUGUCCUUCCAAGCGAGACAGGAAGUGCUUGAUCUUCAGCAAGUGUCUGCUCCUAUUGAUCCUGGGAAUGGUGGCUGUGAUGUUUGGCAGUGCGUAUGGGCCAGAGACUACACCUCCAGCUGCUACUAUUCUUUCUGUUUCAGGGAAGCUCAGGCAGAUGAGGUGUUCAAAUGGAUUUGGAAAUCUGGUGGACAGAUUGAACACGAGGAAUACGCUGAAACGGAGAAAUUAUGCCAUAGCCGAUGA